rnacentral:lncRNA from 1 species
GUUCCAGAGUUUCUAUCAGUGUUUGCCUUCUCUUCGAGAGCCCUGUUUCAGUGGGCAUCUUCUCGAGCCGUAGGUGUCUUCCAAAUCGUCCCUGUCUUCAUCCCUCUGGUCUCUCAGAGUGAUAUAGGUUAGUUCCAGCACCUUCAACCUUCUUCCCACCGCCUAGGGACUUCUUCUCUGUCAUUAUUUUUUGCAUCCCUCCGAGUUAGUUUCCUGUGGCCUCUCGUCCCCCAUCCUGUCCGUCUUCUUAGGGACCUUUAGAGCCCUCCUUCGAAACUACCCGAAAUGUCGACCGGCUCUUCCGCUCCCUGCAGUUUCGAAAGCUCUUCCGCCUCAAACCCCC